CUGCACAGCAGCAGAUACUUUUGCAAGUAACAUCAGAAUAGUAGAAGUUUAUGUGCUAUACUUACUUGAAUAACUAUCUGGGAAAGAUUAAGAAUAAAAUUGCCACCUUUAAAAAUGUUUCAUCUGUUUUGUGAUUUUUUUUAAAGAAGAUUCCACAUAACUCAAGGAGUAACUUGAGAACUGAAAGAUUACAUAUCUGUACCUUGUACAACGCUUGUAAAACCACAGCUUUCUAUAAUCUGUGUUUAGGAAUGAAUGUGAGAAGGCUGCAGUUAGGUAGUGUCCUGUUCCCCUCCAAAUUUUUACAGUUCAUUAGAAACAUAUGCUUUUACCUUUCUUUUUUUUUUUUUUUUUUUUGUCACCAAGAUAUCUGAAGGUGGUUUGAACAGAAGCAGCCAGACAUUUUUUCCCCCUCAGAAGUAGAUUAAAGAAACAGUAUUGAAGAGAACAAUUCUGAAAGCAGCCAACUAUCAACCGACUUGGGCAUUUGAAAUAAUAUUGGAAGUGUUUUCUGGUGUUGUUUAUAGUUUCUGACUGAAACAACAUGGAGAACUGGUAGUGAACAUCCAGUAAUAACAAUAACAAUUUCAUAAGGGAACUAGGAAACGGUAGCACAAACAUCUGGCACACUAUUUACAGUCACCAGCUCUACAAAGAAAUCUACAAAGGUCAUGGUCAUAGAUUUUUC
rnacentral:lncRNA from 1 species